rnacentral:rRNA from 1 species
UACGUAGGUGGCAAGCGUUGUCCGGAAUUAUUGGGCGUAAAGCGCGCGCAGGUGGUUUCUUAAGUCUGAUGUGAAAGCCCACGGCUCAACCGUGGAGGGUCAUUGGAAACUGGGGAACUUGAGUGCAGAAGAGGAAAGUGGAAUUCCACGUGUAGCGGUGAAAUGCGUAGAUAUCUGGAGGAGCACCGGUGGCGAAGGCGGCAUCCUGGACCGAGAUUGACGCUGAGGCGCGAAAGCCAGGGGAGCAAACGGG